rnacentral:rRNA from 1 species
UGGGGAAUAUUGCACAAUGGAGGAAACUCUGAUGCAGCAACGCCGCGUGGAGGAUGACGCAUUUCGGUGUGUAAACUCCUUUUAUAAGGGAAGAUAAUGACGGUACCUUAUGAAUAAGCACCGGCUAACUCCGUGCCAGCAGCCGCGGUAAUACGGAGGGUGCAAGCGUUACUCGGAAUCACUGGGCGUAAAGGAUGCGUAGGCUGGAAAUCAAGUCGAAAGUGAAAUCCAACGGCUCAACCGUUGAACUGCUUUCGAAACUGGUUACCUAGAAUAUGGGAGAGGUAGAUGGAAUUAGUGGUGUAGUGGGAAAAUCCGUAGAUAUCACUAGGAAUACCGAUUGCUAAGGCGAUCUACUGGAAUGUUAUUGACGCUGAGGCAUGAAAGCGUUGGUAGCAAACA